GAUGAACGCUGGCGGCGUGCCUAAUACAUGCAAGUCGAGCGAACAGACGAGGAGCUUGCUCCUCUGACGUUAGCGGCGGACGGGUGAGUAACACGUGGAUAACCUCCCUAUAAGACUGGUAUAACUUCGGGAAACCGGAUCUAAUACCGGAUAAUAUAUUGAACCGCAUGGUUCAAUAGUGAAAGACGGUUUUGCUGUCACUUAUAGAUGGAUCCGCGCCGCAUUAGAUAGUUGGUAAGGUAACGGCUUACCAAGGCAACGAUGCGUAGCCGACCUGAGAGGGUGGUCGGCCACACUGGAACUGAGACACGGUCCAGACUACUACGAGAGGCAGCAGUAGGGAAUCUUCCGCAAUGGGCGAGAGCCUGACGGAGCAACGCCGCGUGAGUGAUGAAGGUCUUCGGAUCGUAAAACUCUGUUAUUAGGGAAGAACAAAUGUGUAAGUAAAUAUGCACGUAUUGACGGUACCUAAUAAGAAAGCCACGGCUAACUACGUG
rnacentral:rRNA from 1 species